rnacentral:rRNA from 1 species
AGUGAACGCUGGCGGUAGGCCUAACACAUGCAAGUCGAGCGGCAGCACAGUAAGAGCUUGCUCUUACGGGUGGCGAGUGGCGGACGGGUGAGGAAUACAUCGGAAUCUACUUUUUUGUGGGGGAUAACGUAGGGAAACUUACGCUAAUACCGCAUACGACCUACGGGUGAAAGCAGGGGAUCUUCGGACCUUGCGCGAUUGAAUGAGCCGAUGUCGGAUUAGCUAGUUGGCGGGGUAAAGGCCCACCAAGGCGACGAUCCGUAGCUGGUCUGAGAGGAUGAUCAGCCACACUGGAACUGAGACACGGUCCAGACUCCUACGGGAGGCAGCAGUGGGGAAUAUUGGACAAUGGGCGCAAGCCUGAUCCAGCCAUACCGCGUGGGUGAAGAAGGCCUUCGGGUUGUAAAGCCCUUUGUUGGGAAAGAAAAGCAGCAGGUUAAUACCCCGCUGUUCUGACGGUACCCAAAGAAUAAGCACCGGCUAACUUCGUG